rnacentral:rRNA from 1 species
UACGUAGGGGGCGAGCGUUGUCCGGAAUUAUUGGGCGUAAAGAGCGCGCAGGCGGUCGUUCAAGUCGCGUGUGAAAGCCCCCGGCUCAACUGGGGAGGGUCACGCGAUACUGAUCGACUCGAAGGCAGGGGAGGGUAGUGGAAUUCCCGGUGUAGUGGUGAAAUGCGUAGAUAUCGGGAGGAACACCAGUGGCGAAGGCGACUACCUGGCCUGUUCUUGACGCUGAGGCGCGAAAGCUAGGGGGGCAAACGGG